CCUACGGGUGGCAGCAGUGGGGAAUAUUGGGCAAUGGGCGCAAGCCUGACCCAGCAACGCCGCGUGAAGGAAGAAGGCUUUAGGGUUGUAAACUUCUUUUCUCAGGGACGAAGCAAGUGACGGUACCUGAGGAAUAAGACACGGCUAACUACGUGCCAGCAGCCGCGGUAAUACGGAGGUGGCAAGCGUUAUCCGGAUUUACUGGGUGUAAAGGGCGUGUAGGCGGGACUGCAAGUCAGAGGUGAAAACCACGGGCUCAACCUGUGGCCUGCAUUUGAAACUGUAGGUCUUGAGUACUGGAGAGGCAGACGGAAUGUCUAGUGUAGCGGUGAAAUGCUUAGAUAUUAGGAGGAACACCAGUGGCGAAGGCGGUCUGCUGGACAGCUACUGACGCUGAGGCGCGAAAGCGUGGGGAGCAAACAGGAUUAGAUACCCCAGUAGUC
rnacentral:rRNA from 1 species